GUGGGGAAUUUUGCACAAUGGGGGAAACCCUGAUGCAGCGACGCCGCGUGGAGGAUGAAGGCUUUCGGGUUGUAAACUCCUUUUCUGGGGGAAGAUAAUGACGGUACCCCAGGAAUAAGUCACGGCUAACUCUGUGCCAGCAGCCGCGGUAAGACAGAGGUGGCAAGCGUUGUUCGGAAUUACUGGGCUUAAAGGGCGCGUAGGCGGCAGCGCAAGUCUGUGGUGGAAUCCUAUGGCUUAACCAUAGAAUUGCCAUGGAAACUGCAUUGCUUGAGUCAGUGAGGGGAGGGCGGAAUUCCUGGUGUAGCAGUGAAAUGCGUAGAUAUCAGGAGGAAGGCCGGUGGCGAAGGCGGCCCUCUGGCGCUUGACUGACGCUGAGGCGCGAAAGCGUGGGGAGCAAACAGGAUUAGAUACCCCAGUAGUCC
rnacentral:rRNA from 1 species